rnacentral:rRNA from 1 species
UGGGGAAUUUUGGACAAUGGGCGAAAGCCUGAUCCAGCAAUGCCGCGUGUGUGAAGAAGGCCUUCGGGUUGUAAAGCACUUUUGUCCGGAAAGAAAUCCUUGGCUCUAAUACAGUCGGGGGAUGACGGUACCGGAAGAAUAAGCACCGGCUAACUACGUGCCAGCAGCCGCGGUAAUACGUAGGGUGCAAGCGUUAAUCGGAAUUACUGGGCGUAAAGCGUGCGCAGGCGGUUUGCUAAGACCGAUGUGAAAUCCCCGGGCUCAACCUGGGAACUGCAUUGGUGACUGCAGGCUAGAGUAUGGCAGAGGGGGGUAGAAUUCCACGUGUAGCAGUGAAAUGCGUAGAGAUGUGGAGGAAUACCGAUGGCGAAGGCAGCCCCCCUGGGCCAAUACUGACGCUCAUGCACGAAAAGGCGUGGGGGAGCAAAACAGGAUUAGAUACCCCUGGUAGUCCCACGCCCUAAAACGAUGUCAACUAGUUGUUGGGGGAUUCAUUUCCUUAGUAACGUAGCUAACGCGUGAAGUUGA